AGUGAACGCUGGCGGUAGGCCUAACACAUGCAAGUCGAACGGCAGCACAGAGGAGCUUGCUCCUUGGGUGGCGAGUGGCGGACGGGUGAGGAAUACAUCGGAAUCUACUCUGUCGUGGGGGAUAACGUAGGGAAACUUACGCUAAUACCGCAUACGACCUACGGGUGAAAGCAGGGGACCUUCGGGCCUUGCGCGAUUGAAUGAGCCGAUGUCGGAUUAGCUAGUUGGCGGGGUAAAGGCCCACCAAGGCGACGAUCCGUAGCUGGUCUGAGGGGAUGAUCAGCCACCCUGGAACUGAGACACGGUCAGGAAUCCUACGGGAGGCAGCAGUGGGGAAUAUUGGACAAGGGGGGCAAGCCUGAUCCAGCCAUACCGCGUGGGUGAAGAAGGCCUUCGGGUUGUAAAGCCCUUUUGUUGGGAAAGAAAUCCAGCUGGCUAAUACCCGGUUGGGAUGACGGUACCCAAAGAAUAAGCACCGGCUAACUUCGUGCCAGCCGCCGCAGUAA
rnacentral:rRNA from 1 species